CCUACGGGUGGCAGCAGUGGGGAAUAUUGCACAAUGGGGGAAACCCUGAUGCAGCGACGCCGCGUGAGUGAAGAAGUAUUUCGGUAUGUAAAGCUCUAUCAGCAGGGAAGAAACCCACCCUCCGGGGUGGCUGACGGUACCUGACUAAGAAGCCACGGCUAACUACGUGCCAGCAGCCGCGGUCAUACGUAGGGGGGAAGCGUUCUCCGGAUUUACUGGGGGGAAAGGGGGCGUAGGUGGCAAGGCAAGUAAGAGGGUAAAACCCCGGGCCCAACCCCGGGCGUGCAUUUGAAACUGUCUGGCUAGAGUGCAGGAGAGGUAAGUGGAAUGCCUGGUGUAGCGGUGAAAUGCAUAGAUAUUAGGAGGAACACCAGUGGCGAAGGCGGCUUACUGGACUGUAACUGACACUGAGGCUCGAAAGCGUGGGGAGCAAACAGGAUUAGAUACCCCUGUAGUC
rnacentral:rRNA from 1 species